GGCACCCGGCGGGCUAGGCUCGGCCGCCGGCGCCUUCUCCGGCUCCGCCGCGGGGGUCGCAGCGGCUGCCGCGCCAUCCUCGAGUUCCCAGCUUGAGAAGGCGGCGGGCGGAGAGGAGCAUCGUGUUCGAGGCGGAGACCCAGAGGGAGCCCCGCGCGCGGCCUCGCUCAUUGCUAUGGACAGUGCUAUCACCCUGUGGCAGUUCCUCCUUCAGCUCCUAAAGGAGCCUCAGAACGAUCACAUGAUCUGCUGGACCUCUAAUAAUGGGGAGUUCAAGCUUUUGCAGGCAGAAGAGGUGGCUCGUCUCUGGGGGAUUCGAAAGAACAAGCCUAAUAUGAAUUAUGACAAACUCAGCCGAGCCCUCAGAUACUAUUAUGUGAAGAAUAUCAUUAAAAAAGUGAAUGGUCAGAAGUUUGUGUACAAGUUUGUCUCAUACCCCGAGAUUCUGAACAUGGAUCCGAUGACGGCGGGCAGGGUUGAGGGAGACUGUGAAGCUUUAAGCGUCAGUGAACUCAGCAGCAACAGUUCCAAAGAUGUGGAGAAUGGCGGGAAAGAGAAGCCACCACAGCCUGGUGCCAAGACCUCUAGCCGCAAUGACUACAUACACUCUGGCUUAUAUUCUUCAUUUACUCUCAACUCUUUGAACUCCUCCAACAGGAAGCUUUUCAAAUCUAUAAAGGUUGAGAAUCCAGCUGAGAAAUUGGCAGAGAAAAAAUCUCCUCAGGAGCCAACCCCAUCUGUUAUCAAAUUUGUAACCACACCUGCCAAAAAGCCACCAGUUGAACCUCUUGCUGCUGCCAUUUCAACUGGCCCAAGUAUUUCUCCAUCUUCAGAAGAAACUAUGCAAGUGUUGGAGAAUUUGGCUUCCCCCAGACUGCCUUCUCUGGAAGCACCAACUUCUGCAUCUAGUGUGACUGCCGCUUUUACCACCCCACCACCUAUUUCGUCUGUGUCCCCUCUGCAGGAGCCUUCUAGAACACCUUCACCACCGCUGAGUUCCAACCCAGACAUGGACACAGACAUGGAAUCAGUGGCUUCUCAGCCAAUGGAACUUCCAGAGGACUUGUCCCUGGAGCCUAAAGACCAGGAUUUGGCUUUGCCAGAAAAGGACAAAACAAAUAAUUCAUCAAGGUCCAAGAAACCCAAGGGGUUAGAGCUGGCACCAACCCUGGUGAUCACAGGCAGUGAUCCAAGCCCACUGGGAAUAUUAAGCCCAUCUCUCCCUACAGCUUCUCUUACGCCAGCACUUUUUUCACAGACGCCCAUCUUACUGACUCCGAGCCCCUUGCUCUCCAGUAUCCACUUUUGGAGUACUCUCAGUCCUGUUGCUCCCCUAAGUCCAGCCAGGCUACAAGGUGCUAACACACUUUUCCAGUUUCCUUCUGUGCUGAACAGUCAUGGGCCGUUCACUCUGUCUGGCCUGGAUGGACCUUCCACCCCUGGCCCAUUCUCCCCAGAUCUACAGAAAACAUAACGUAUGCACUUGUGGGAUGAGAGAACCAAGGAAUAAAGAAACAGAAAGACACCCACCCAACAUGAUUACAUUUAAAAAAUCUAGAAUUGUGCUGAGGUGCCAUUCUUAGGUGUGUAAACAAGUAUGGCGACAAGUGCAGGUCUCUGUGCAGAAGCCUGGAUCUCUGAGUGAAGGACCACAGCAACAGGAAAACUAGACUCUUCAUGAAGUACGUAGUCUGUGAUCUGAGGGUGUGACAGGAUGGAAUCGAGAAGUUAAUUGUUCAAUUCAUAGUAGUGAAGUGGAGGCCAGCCAUAAUUAUCUUGAGCAGGUACUCUGACCAGAGAAUUAGUUCGAUGGAAAGUGUUUGGUUAAUUAUCUUCUUGGUUUUGGGUCAACAAUUAAAUUAACAGUUGUUACUGUUUUUAAUGCUGCUGGCGUUGCCUGAAACAAGGUGCCGUGUUAUUUCUCUGUGUCAUCAGAACUCUGCUUACUGAAGUUGAAGUUUUAAUCUUAUAAUCUAGAAUUCUUGUGGGUGGUGGUGUAUUAAGCAAGAAAAGAAGGCGGUUUGAUUUCAUUUCUCAUACUUGGUGGAACCUGUUAGGAUGAAAGUCAUGUUUUUACCUGUAAACAGAGCAGAACUGAAAAGGUGAGUUAUUGAUGUAGUAUAAAUGUUCCAUUUGAAGCUGCCAGUUUCUUCAAGCUACUUUUCUGAAAAAAAAAAUUGUGAUAGAUUGACAGCCUGCCAGAAAAUAGCAAUUUCUAGGGUGCUGCCAUCCACACUUAGCUGUUGUGAAAAUGGAAAUUAGAGUGGUUUGUGGUGAGAGGGGAAAGGUUGGCUCUAAGCUUUCUAUAGAAACGAGGAAAUUCAGGCUGUUGUUAACGUUUUAAAUGAAACCUUUAACAAGAAAAUUUAUGAGGGAUACAAUCAAACAUAGUCUCUUGAACUCUAAUCUUUUGAGUAUAAUAUACAUCAAGAAGUUUUAUGAGGCUUAAGUUUUUAUUUUAAAAUAUUUUGGGAAACUAGAGCAUUUCUUUCCAAGUCAUUCUGAUUGGCUGAGUGCAUAUAUGUGUGUGUAUAUAUACUGAUGUAUUGACUGAGUAUAUGUUUGUGUGUAUGUGUAUAAAUAAAUCUAUUUUUCAGAGGGGACGUAUGGUCAUCCUAGUCUAGGAUGGUUCCUAGGCUAUUUUAUACUAAAACUUAAAAACAAAAAUUGGCUGCACUUUGCAGUUGUCACUUUUUAAAAAUUAAUGCCUUGCACAUUUCAGUUUUUUUAAAUGCAUAGAAUCAUAGGCCUUAAAGACUAAUUGCUUGUCUACUCUUUAGAAAUACUGUACAGUGCUACAUGUGACAUACUCUAAGCAGUCAUCUUAACCUGCUUUCUUAUAUUCAUGUAUUAUUGAGCAAAUAAGAAUGUUCUUUCUAAAAAUUUCUACAUUUUUGUGUAAAAUCCUUGUUACGUUGGGUUCUAAGUUUCUCAGAGAGGAGGUUUAUACUAGACGUAGUAUUUCUAAAAUACAGAUUUAACCAUGAUUGAUAUAGUGGUGGAGGAAUUCUGGUAUUGUAGCCUAUUCAUCCUUUUGAACUGUACAUAAAAAGCAUUAGCAGAAAACUCAGAGUAUCUUGGGCUGAAUGGUCUUCUCAACUUUGCCUUGUUUCCCAUCUCAUAAGGGCCCGUUCUUGUUCUUGUCCCCUCCAAGGAUUAUGAGCCCUGCGAGGACAGGCCUGGGAUCUUCUGGACGGGUUGGGGGUGGGGAGGUGCCCUGUGGCUGGGCCUGAGUUCUAGCCAGUCCAUCAUUCAAGCUUGCCUAGAGUUCAGGGGUGGGAAUGCCAUAUACUGGUAUGAAAUCACUUGGCACUUUUGGGGACACCAUUAUUAGCACUGUUCUGUUUUUAAUAACUGGAAGCACUUAAUGAUUAUUUUGUUUAAUUUCACCUUGAGGAUAUUGAGGGUCAGGGAAGUUAAGGUUUAUUGCUUGUUUAUGUUUUCUGGAACUUGACUGUUUGGAGAAGGGAUAAAUGGAUUACCCAGUGAGCCAUUCUAGGCUCUGUAAGGUAUGCUGUUUUGGCUAGGAUGCUUUAAAAUAAUUUACAAGCUUUUAAUGUAUGUAGAAAUGUAUGACUUUUAAUGGUUUGCAGUUGGUGGAUUAUACUCAACUUUGUGAAUUCGCCAACUUCAAGUUUCUUUUCUGUUUAAUCAUUGUUGCUUAUUGUCUGUCACGUAGGGGACACAGUCCUUUCUAAGACAUUUCAUACUUUUUGUUUUUGAUGGCAGUAUUACCAAGGGCCUUUAAGUGUACAUUACAUUCAUUGCUUAUGUGAUAAAGUAGCAUAUUGUAUGAACUUCCCUGUUCAGUAUUAGUGAAGUGAACUAAGAUGCAUAUAUGUAAAGAUAGAAAUGAAUGCAAUUAAUUUUUGAUUACUUGAGGCCUAUUUAUUUGGUUUGGCCAUUCGACCUUUUCUAGUCACAAUCAUAUGUAUUUCUUCACUUUUACCUUCCAACGGUUUCAUUUAUCUUUGUGGGUAGGGAAGAUUAAAUAUGAAACUCGGUCCAGUCAUUUUGCUACUGGUUGGCUUUGGUUUGAGGCAAAUAAAAUUUUUGACUUAGUUUUUUAGAAUUCUGCCCUUUACACUAGAUAAUCAAGUUGGCUUUAAAAAAAAUUGUACAGUUUUGUCCUUUGAAGAACAAACAAAUAAUUUUCUGUGAGCCCUAUUGGAUCUUCAAGUAUGGAUAUCACUUGAAAAUUAAAUACUGUUAAACUUGAUUUUCGCCCACCCAAUCUGUAAGUCAGAAAGAGAGCAUAUGUCUGCUGUGGCGUUAACACAGAGAGAGGUAUUCUUUUACCUCAGCGUCUCAGUUUGGCCUCUGUAAUAAGAACUUGUCAGGGUGCUUUUCUUAAACUCCGAUUCAUUCAACUGAGAAGACAGUUACUUCAUUGUUUAUUUUUCCCCUUGUUUAUUUUAUUGAAAUCUAUCUCUUAUAAUAUCUAGUAUCCACUACUUUUGUAUAAACAGAAUACUUACAUAUAAUGCCAGUGCACACCUACCCAAAAGACUGCAUUACUGUUAAACUGUCAUUAAUAACUUGUCUUGACUAAUCUCAGUGUAAUUUACAUGAGGGAGACCUUCGAAGUAUUAAAAUCACUUUCUUUUCUUUUUCCUAAAAAAGCAGUUCAAAUGAUGGUAACUGCAAACAUUUAUUAAAAUCACAUUAAUUGUUGAUGCACCUGGAGAGAAACUGCCACAUCUUCUAGCUAAGCAGUCUGACUUAACGUGUUGGGAAACUAAGGGAUGUUGUUUUAGGGUAAUUAGUAUGGCUGUAGCCGGAGCCUUUAGCUCUACAUGUGUGUGGCAAAAAAACUCUACAGAGUUUAGGUUGGUGAGGAAGAAUAUGCGCUGGCACUUUGAGGGCUUUAUAAUAUGCUGCUUUUAGGAGGGAAAAGUGUAGUCGAUACUCAGUGCACCUCCAGACAUAGUAAGGGGUUGCUCUGAAUAACCAAUCAGGUGAUCUUUUUUUCCUAUGGCUUCAAGUUUUAUGCAAAAAUAUUGUUAAAUUCUGUAAUGAUGAUAUGCAUCUUUUUAGAAAGAUGAUGAUACAUUUUUGAAAACUAUUUUAUAUAAGAACUGUCAGAGGAAUUUGCUUUGUAUAAUGGCAAGCUGGCUUUAAGAAAGCACUGUAUCAAAUUUACUAUAAAGUCCAAAAUUAUAUAGAUAUGUUAAUAGAUGUAUGUGCAACUUGAU